rnacentral:piRNA from 1 species
UGAGACAGAGAAAGGUGUUAUGG